rnacentral:rRNA from 1 species
AUUGAACGCUGGCGGCAGGCCUAACACAUGCAAGUCGAGCGGAUGAAGGGAGCUUGCUCCUGGAUUCAGCGGCGGACGGGUGAGUAAUGCCUAGGAAUCUGCCUGGUAGUGGGGGAUAACGUCCGGAAACGGGCGCUAAUACUGCAUACGUCCUGAGGGAGAAAGUGGGGGAGCUUCGGACCUCACGCUAUCAGAUGAGCCUAGGUCGGAUUAGCUAGUUGGUGGGGUAAAGGCCUACCAAGGCGACGAUCCGUAACUGGUCUGAGAGGAUGAUCAGUCACACUGGAACUGAGACACGGUCCAGACUCCUACGGGAGGCAGCAGUGGGGAAUAUUGGACAAUGGGCGAAAGCCUGAUCCAGCCAUGCCGCGUGUGUGAAGAAGGUCUUCGGAUUGUAAAGCACUUUAAGUUGGGAGGAAGGGCAGUAAGUUAAUACCUUGCUGUUUUGACGUUACCAACAGAAUAAGCACCGGCUAACUUCGUG